CAAAAAUGUCUUGCUUUGUUAUUAUGGGGGUAUGAGGAGAAAAAACAAACAUUUAAUCAAUUCUAGAAUAAAAUUGAAAACAGCAAGGGUCCUAAACAGCUGCCCUGGAGAAUGCCUGAUUCUACCUGGAUUAUGUUGGAGAGGCUUCCAUUAAAGAACACCCUCUGUUCUGUUAGACAGGUAACUCUUCAUCCACAUUAUAGCAGGGGGUGUAAAGCCAUAACACCCUCUGUGUUCUGUUAGACAGGUAACUCUUCAUCCACAUUAUAGCAGGGGGUGUAAAGCCAUAACACCCUCUGUGUUCUGUUAGACAGGUAACUCUUCAUCCACAUUAUAGCAGGGGGUGUAAAGCCAUAACACCCUCUGUUCUGUUAGACAGGUAACUCUUCACAUUAUAGCAGGGGGUGUAAAGCCAUAACACCCUCUCUGUUCUGUUAGACAGGUAACUCUUCAUCCACAUUAUAGCAGGGGGUGUAAAGCCAUAACACCCUCUGUGUUCUGUUAGACAGGUAACUCUUCAUCCACAUUAUAGCAGGGGGUAUAAAGCCAUAACACCCUCUGUGUUCUGUUAGACAGGUAACUCUUCAUCCACAUUAUAGCAGGGGGUGUAAAGCCAUAACACCCUCUGUGUUCUGUUAGACAGGUAACUCUUCAUCCACAUUAUAGCAGGGGGUGUAAAGCCAUAACACCCUCUGUGUUCUGUUAGACAGGUAACUCUUCAUCCACAUUAUAGCAGGGGGUGUAAAGCCAUAACACCCUCUGUUCUGUUAGACAGGUAACUCUUCAUCCACAUUAUAGCAGGGGGUGUAAAACCAUAACACACAUGUCUUUCCAGCAGCAGACUAUGAUCAAUCAUGUCCAAAUCUGCACUGAAGUCUAACAAGACAUCCCCCACAAUCAUUUUAUCAUCAAUUUCUCUCAGCCAAUCAUCAGUCAUUUGUGUAAGUGCUGUGCUUGUUGAAUGUCCUUCUCUAUAAGCGUGCUGAAAGUCUGUUGUCAAUUUGUUUAGGGUGAAACAGCAUUGUAUCUGGUCAAACACCAUUUGUUCCAGAAGUUUACUAAGGGUUGGUGGUA